rnacentral:misc_RNA from 1 species
CAGGACGCAGCCGCAGCGAGGCGAGUGGCUGUCUUCUCCUUCUCACCUCUCCUUGGACUCAUGUGGCGUUGGGUGUCUCUAGGUGGGUGGUGUGGACCGUCGCUUAUGCUCAGCAAGCUAGGUCUUCGCCCCGCUGAGGAGUCGCUGCCAUUCGACAUGGUGCGCUGCACCUUCGACGGUCUGGUGGAGUUGACUGCGAACGGCUUUUCGUCGUCGGUGCGUCCUACUCCCCCGGUUUCCCCCGCGAACCCCGCAGCAAGUGUGAGUGCUACUCCCGGCGUGGGCCGCUACAACUUUUCGCCAGCGCAAGAGGACGGCUACUUCCCACAAGCAUCACGCAUUCCGUCAGCGCCCUCCCCCCCUGAUGCUGCCGGCACCGCUGCACCCCCAUGCUUUGCUCCGGAUCCGGUGAAUGUAUGGUUGCUCUUCCGAAGCCAGCACGCCUGCUUCACCCACUAUGACUUGAACAACACGGAUGUGCAGGCGGAGUUCCGCAGGCGCAUUCGUGCCUGGGAGGCCCUGCUUGCCCCGGAGAAUGCAGGCGCCGCUGGCCAGGAAAGGGUGCGGCCCGUCACCUUCAUCCGUACCGUCAUUGCCGAGAAUCCGGCGGAGGAGCUGGAGAUGCUGCCGCAAUUUCAUCAGGCAGUGCGGGAGCGCACCCGCGGGAGACUUCCCUUCCGCACCGUUCUCGUCGUGCACGACCAGGCGGACACGACGCGGCCGCUUUGCGCGAUGCCGCAGGAGUCGAAGGUCCAUGGAAGCCCAUGUAUUGUGUGGAAUCUGAGGCGGCAGCGCCCGGCGCGAACUUCCUCGUCCUCGUCAGCUGUUGACUCAACGGGCGCGACGUCAGCAGCGACAGAGGCGCCGUCGCUCCUGGAUGAGUGCCAUGAUGGCUAUCAGACAAUCCUCACCACCAUGUCCAAAAACGCAAAGUGGCGCUCGCUGGACGCCUCGCUGCCGGCUUACGAGACGUACAUCCAUUCCCGCAAGGCGCCCUUCACCCCCUACACGGAGCUGAGCCGUGUAGACGGGGUGCCAGCCGUGCGAGGCACGUGCACCGGGUUUGGGUCGACCUUCUCCGCGGCUUUGGGCCGCUGCGUUCACUGUGGGUGCACCGAUGGACACGCCGUCUCCGCAGAGCGAUAUGACAAGCACCAGGAGUGGGAAGAAGAGGAUGUGAACGAGUUGCUCCUCAACUAUGCCCUGCACCACUGCGACGAGGUGGCUGCGGUAGAGGCGACGGCGCGGCGGCAGAAGCGCGGCGCGCACGAGACGUGGCAGAAACUGCGGGUUCUUCUGUCAGACUGAAAACCGGACGAAGAGGGAGUGAGUCGAAAGCGUUGCGGUGGCGCAUCGGUGUCCGAUGAGCUGGGGUGUGACUGCAUGCCGUGGACCAUACGGUAAGGCCGGCGCCACUCUAGUCGUAUCCGAUCCUAGCGGUGACUCUUUACAAUCAAGCACAAG